GCCCGGGUGGAGGAACUGGUAGACUCGUAAGGUCGAGGGCCUUAUGCUCGCAAGGGCGUGCGGGUUCAAAUCCCGCCUCGGGCA
rnacentral:tRNA from 1 species